AACUUCUGCAUCUUGAUUAGUGGUGUUCUUGAGGAAUACCCUAAAAUCUAUUAUUCUUCAUCUCCUAAAAUCUAAUUAUUCUUCACAAUUGUCAAGAGUUUGGUGUCCAAAGAUGUUUAACCAAUGGUCAACACUGGAGAACAGUGAGAUUCAACAUCAGAUGCAAGUUCUCUAGCUAAAGCUAAAGUUUGAAGCAAAUGGCCCAUCUCAACCUUUCCUCAGUACUGCUCUAUCUUGUGCAAAACAAUGUAAGGCAUGGCCAAGUCAAGGACAUCAUUCGAAAGAAGCCAGAGAAACAGACAGAAAAAACGAAAAAGCUCUCAACUCAAUAUGCUUUCAUCUCCAAAACAACAUGUUCUUUCUCUUUGGUUCACUCGGUGUUUCUGACGGAAGUGAAAUUCUUCUCUGGCAUCCAAGAAAGAUUUAUGACUGAAAAAGAACAGAUUUUACCUGGCAAUGGGUGCGUGCAAGGUUUGUUCUCUUUCAUACCAGGCCCAAUUGCUCUUUAUUUUGCAGAUACUAAUAUUAGACCCAGUUAAUCAUUGCACAUUCCUUUUAUUAGGUGAGGAGCUACAUUCUUGAAACCACUCUCAAGAAAACAAUCCUUCACUUCCAGACCACCCUGAGUUGUAGACUUGGGGUUUCGGCAGUGGUAGAACUAUUGGGUCAUGUGGCAGACUUUUGGGCAGCCCAUAGACAUCUGCUCUUCAGCCUCAAACCUUUGGAAGUGGUUCGAGAACUUCCUCUUUUCUUGUUCACUUGGCGCAAGGUUGCUCCUUCUACAAACACCAUGAAGGUGUUGGUACCACCAGAAUAUUAAACUUUAUUGCCUCAUUCCCUAUGGGCAAAACUGCCUGUGAUGAGGGAAAGGCUGCUUGAAUAGGAUGUAUUCAAUAGACUUUAUUUGAAGGUCCUAAUUCAGACAAGUUAGAGCCGUCUGAGUUUUUUGCAGAAUCUGAAAUAUGAAAUUUUAGACCACAUUCAAUUUCGUUAGUUCUAAGUGAAUAUGUCUUGACUCUGAUAGUCUUUUCUAAGUUGAUUAUUGGCAAAUUAGCAGCCAAUUUGCCAUAGAAACAUUGUGGUUAGAUUCCAAGCCAACCCCCAGAUGCCUCCUUAACUCAUUUUGUGCCUGAAGUAGAGUACUACUCAAUAGUACCAUGAAAUCUCAUCACCAAUUGCAACUAUGUUUUUGAAAUAAAAACAGUCCAAGUUCCAACUCAGAACUAGAGGAUGUGGUUGCUGGGUCUCCCCUUCAUUUCCUUCUGUUCCUUCUGUGGUCAGCAGACCUUCUGACAGUGAGAUAGGGACUCCAGAAAGGGACUUCUACAAGCACAUUUUGGGUGAUGGCAGUGAUAGAAGUCUAUGUCUUCAGUGAAAUAAGCAAGCAGUAGCAGUUAUUCACAUUUUCCAUGGUAGUCCCAGUCCUUCCUGAGUGACAAGGGUGGUGGCAGUGGGGAGUGAGGAAACAGGAGGGGGAAAGGGUGGUCCCUUACAGAAGCAACCAAUUGCCAGCAGGGAGUUACGCCUCUGGCUUGGCCUCCAAGUCACAAGUCACAAGAAGAAAACAUUUAAGAGUUUAGAAUUAGUAAGUGGUCCAUACGGUGAUCACAGAAGAACAAAAAACAUGUUAUGAACAAGAUCCUUAGGAAUCCACUUCACUAAACAAAUAAAGUGAUUUAUAAUUGGCAAAUCAACUUGAAACCUAAAUGGUUCCAAUAUGCUUGAAAAUCAUUUAUUCCCUUAAGUCUUUUAGCACCUACUUCUCUGCCACCCUUAGACUCCUUUAUCAGAACUGAACUCAUCCAGCAAGUAUGUAUUGAGGGCCUACCCUGGACCAAGGCCAACCUCAUUAUCUACUAUUAGUUUGCACAACCUGCAAAGCACAGUGCUGUGUGUAUAGGAAAUAAACUCACUUACCUGAUUCUUUCCCACAGAAUGCUUUCUGGGCUCCCUCUUUCGCUCUUCAUUUGUUCCUUCUUUUAGCUCUCUAAGAUCACUACACCUGGCCAGUCCCCUCUGUGCACUGCUCAUUCUAGAAUCUCACUCCUGGUCAUAACCCCGGGGCCCAGACAGACGAGGUCUACCCUGCUUCCAGAACAAGAAAGCAGACAUGCAUCCUGGCUGCAGCCAGGCUAUGAAGCAGAAUAAAUGAAGCCUGUCUCUAUUUCUGUCUGCAUUCUGUUGUCUAGGCAAUUUCUUUGGAAUUGAUUCUUUUUCUUUCUUUUACUUUCUUCCAUUUUCCCCCUUGUAUCCUUUCCUUUUCUUUCUCUUUAGAUUUUCCUUUCUUCCUUCAGACAUUUUUUCUGAGAAACUCAUGCAUUCCGCUAAGCAGCAUGGAACUUCAAGAGAGAUGUUAGAAUAUGCACGCUCAACCCCCGCACACGAGAGAUGCACACAGUGGGCUGCAAACGGUGAAAAAUGAAAUCCAAAAUUACCUUUCCAAAAGAAUUCUACUUAGGAAAGACUCCUUACAGGCAUUCAUGGAAGGCUCCAGCCUCUUAAGCUUCGUUUACAUUUUAUAGCUUUUACUGAAUUUUCUUCAACUGUCUACCCAAAUAUACUUCUCUGAUCCAUAAACCGUUUCCAGUGAAACUUGGAUCCUAUUUGGUGUAAUUCCUGUAACUCUGUGAGAAUCUGAGACAGGCCAUUCAUUUCUAAGCAAAGGUCUCUGUUUAAAAGGUUAUGCUUGCCAUUUCUCUGUCAAUGUCGUCAACGCCAACGGCGUCACCCUUCCUCCUCCCGAUAAUCAGGGUGGUCGGAAUCUUCCUAAAAUAGCAGCCACUGGGACCCUGCUUGCCACGUUUAAUUUCACUGCUUCUUUAUAGAGCCUUAUUUAUGUGUUAAACUAUGAACAAGUCAGCUUGAAUUGCCUGGGGCCAAGUGCGAGAGAAAUGUUGAUAACAUUUGGUAUUCCCAGCCUUCCCCCUUGACUCCUCCAUACUAAAAUUUAGAGAAUGGAUAAGGCUUAGAAGUGGCUUCUUCCAGUGUGCUGUAUUCUAGUUGGGGAUAAAUAAUGUGGAAUUCGGGGGUGUAUCAUCAAGGAUAUGUUCUGAAGCUCUGGGAAUAUUAUAUCACGAAGGUAGCCGCUGACUGGCAGAGUCUGAGGGCUCUGAGAAAUGGGAGGAAUUGCUCACUGGCCCACUGCUUCCUGAAGUUUCACUUUUAAAAUAAUCAGAAUGUGAUUAGGAGGCAGCCUGAGCCAUAACAACCACCUAAGCCAGGGAACUUCACCAGUAGGAGAGGCGUUAGCUCUGCCUUCACCUCCCCAGGAUAUGAGAACACACAGGCUUCUUUAAGCCACCUAGGAGAUACAGAGUCUUUCUUCCAGGCAUCUCACCAAGGAAAAGAACAUUUUGUUAAUCAUUACUCAUUAUCAGUUUGGCCAAAGAAUUGUUUUGAGUUUUGGGGUGUUUUUGUUUCAUUUUGUUUUGUUUUGGCAUCUGGGUGGCACAGGCUCAAGGCCAAUUUCAUCAUGUAAACAUCCAGUUUACAAUUCUAAGUGGUUUCCCUGGGGUAGAAACCCUCAAAACUGUCCUUCUGAACUUCCAGUGGGAUCUAUUUCACCUUGAGCCUAUCUUGGCAUUUUUAGUCAUCCUCUGGACUUAGUGAAAUUGAGUUCUCCAUGCCUCUCUUCAGAGCUCAGGCUUUCUGGCAUAUAGCUGUUUCUCUGGUACUACCAUUUUCAUGUACAUUUGCCCCAAAAUGGAAUAAUCAUUGAGAACAGUUUUGAGCGUUCUUCAGCUCCUUUGCCUCAUGCCCUAGUCUCCAGGGCUCAGCGUGUCUUUGGGAACAGGGUUAUGCUUUGCAAUACUACUACUGGCUCUUACUUCUCUUCCUCAAGAUUGAUUCUUCGAACAGUGACCUUAUUUAAUUCAAACAAGCCAUGUUGGUUCUCCUGACUUCAGCAAAUGGAAAAGUCCAGUAGGAAGUACACAUUUGCUUUUAUGGAUGACAGAUAUGCAUUACUGAUUACUCUAAUCCUCAAAGGUACUUAGAAACACUGAUCAAGUCUUCAUCUCCUGUAACAGUCCUGGGGAAAUCACAAGCAAAAAGCAUUUGCUUAGGUAAGUAGGAAGCAAUUGUUAUUACUUCAUUUUGUUUUGCUUCCUGAGAGGACUUGAAAAACUGAGAGACUCCCACUCAUCUGAUAUGGGACAUAGAAAAAAUAAAAAUAUUCUUAGAACCCACCACAAGGCAAAAGCUAGUCUAGCCAACACCAUCUUGAUUCUUUAAUAAGACCAACUCAUUCAGAUCAAAGUCAAAUUGUACUUUUCCAGAGGGUAAACUUAAGACAAUAUUUUUCAAACUUUUGUUUGGGCUACAACUGACAGUAAAAAUAUAUUUUACAACAUGACAUGUAUGAUGUUGCACACACACAUGUUUACCUGAAAUACGUUUUAUGAAACAU
rnacentral:lncRNA from 10 species